UACGCAACUUCCGUAAUUUACGUUCCCCAGCAAAGUCGCGCGUGAAGGCUCUCGUAUCGCGAGAAUCCUCUGGGGGUGGGGCUUAAUCUAGUGAAUUGCCGAUACGCUGACUGCGCAAGGCGGGGCGCAGGCGCAGUAGACAUAUCCGCUCGCUUCAAAAGGUAUAAAUACGGACGCCUCGCAAUCGCUCAGCCUUUUAGGGGGAGACCUUUGCUCAGUGUUCGUGGUGUUUGCCUUCGGUCAAGAUUCUAAAUAACUUGAUUUGGAAAAGAAGAGGAGCCACCUCACCAUUUUGGCAGUUAAUGCUUUUUGGAUUCCUCUAAAGUGAUGGCUGCUUUUGGAGGAUAAGUAGCUGCCCUUUGGAGUAAAAGGAAAAUUAAAUGCAAAUUCUGUCAUUCCCAGAUCUGUAUUAACUG